GCAAGUCGAGGGGUAACAGGGGAGCUUGCUUCUGCUGACGACCGGCGCACGGGUGCGUAACGCGUAUACAAUCUACCUUUUACUGGGGAAUAGCCCGGAGAAAUCCGGAUUAAUGCCCCAUAGUAUUUCGAGACCGCAUGGUCUUGCAAUUAAAGAUUACGGUAAAAGAUGAGUAUGCGUCCCAUUAGCUAGAUGGUAAGGUAACGGCUUACCAUGGCUACGAUGGGUAGGGGGCCUGAGAGGGUGAUC
rnacentral:rRNA from 1 species